rnacentral:rRNA from 1 species
GAUGAACGCUGGCGGCGUGCUUAACACAUGCAAGUCGAACGGAAAGGCUCCUGCUUGCAGGGGUACUCGAGUGGCGAACGGGUGAGUAACACGUGGGUGAUCUGCCCUGCACUUCGGGAUAAGCCUGGGAAACUGGGUCUAAUACCGGAUAGGACGAUGGUUUGGAUGCCAUUGUGGAAAGUUUUUCGGUGUGGGAUGAGCUCGCGGCCUAUCAGCUUGUUGGUGGGGUAAUGGCCUACCAAGGCGUCGACGGGUAGCCGGCCUGAGGGGGUGUACGGCCACAUUUGGACUGAGAUACGGCCCAGACUCCUACGGGGGGCAGCAGUGGGGAAUAUUGCACAAUGGGCGCAAGCCUGAUGCAGCGACGCCGGGUGGGGGAUGACGGGCUUCGGGUUGUAAACUCCUUUCGCUAGGGACGAAGCGUUUUGUGACGGUACCUGGAGAAGAAGCACCGGCUAACUACGUG